GCUAGCUGAGCACUGAAACAGAGAGAGGCCCCAGACUGGAAGGUUAAUGCGAGAUGGCCAGCGUGAUGCGGUGACUCAGUCCUGACCUCAUGGAACGGCAACAGUAAGAGACAACGCGUGUGAUUGACAGCAGGGCAGAGGCAUUUGAGACCGACGCAAGGGGAGCUGUGGCGGUGGUCGCGUGAUGGAUUCGGGUGCAGAACGCAAGCCGGGCUGGGAAGUGAUGGGCCAGUGGAAGG